CCUGUGGGCUCUCAGGGUUGGGGAGGGCCUGGGCAUGGGACCGCACACCACACGCACUUUCCCCCUCGCUCCUGCCUUGCCAGUGGGAGGCUUGGGUCAGAACCACACAUGAGGGGUCUCAGCCUGGAGAUGUUUCACGUCUGGGUGCCUCACCUGUCGCCUUCCCCAUUUGCCCCGUGUUCUGCCUCAUCUCCAUUGUCUUUCCACUGCUCCUCUUGGCCUUGGAGGUCCACGUGGGGUCUGGGCCGGUGUGGUCACAUAGCAUUACUAGCCAGCUUGCUCAGCAUUGCAAGGGUAGCGUGUCUGGCCUCUUGAAACCAGGUGAUGCCCAUCUGGAACCCUCAGGACAGCCCUGGGAAUCUCUGAUCUGCCUUUAGGGUCCUCUUGUCUUGAGAGAUGUUACGUGUUUGCAGCUGAACUGCUCACAGUGGUGUCCUGGAGAACCUAGGAAUUCAGACAGCCUUCCCACUUUCCUUCUGGCUCCUCCCCAUGCUGGCCCCUUGGCCAUCAGCCCUUGGUCACACCCCCAUGGGUGUCCUUAGGCUUGCUUGGAUAUGCCCUUUGUGUUCUCUCUGGAGCAGCUUUCUCAUUUUUUGCAACAUGGAUGGAAGUUUCCAAAUCAUCAAGUUCUGAUUUCUUUAGAUGAGUUUAUCCCUGUGUCAGUUUUCUGUCCACACGUUUUAAAGGUAAAUGUUUCCAGAGAAGCCAGGCUCCCCGCAACCCCGUUGGCUCCCCACCCCCCUCCCCUGACCCUGCACUUUGCUUGGAGGCGUGGCCAUCACGUUCCCAGGUCCCUUGCACACAAGCACUGCCUUUCCAGAAGCCACUGUGCUCUCUGCCACCUGUGCCAGCCCUGCUUGGGACCCUGUUGCUGCUGCCCAUGGAGACCGGGGCUCUCCCAGCUGUGCCCACAUGUAUAGGUGUUUGUUGCUCAGUUCCUCCCACAGUUUUCUGUCUUCGUCUGUCUGGGCUCCGUGACAGAAUUCCAGAGUCUCGGGUCGGAAAGCCUGAGAUCAGGGUACUGGCCUGAUUGGGGGGUGGCUCUUCCUCCUGUAUGUUCUUAGAAGGAAACUAGUUUCUGAAUAUGCCUCCCUCAGCACUCUGUGGGCCUGGAAGUCCACCUGCCGACACCCUCAGCAGACGCUCAGCCAUGUGCUGUCCCCUGACUGCCAGCCUGUUCCUGGGGAAUGAAAUAAACUGCCUUCCCUGUGGGCUGGACCAGGCUUGUUCCCUGAGCCCUGAUGAUGGGCUCUUUCCAAGGCCCUGGCUGCCCCAUGCAGUUUCAUGGGCAGACAGCCCCCGGUGGCUGGAGUGCUCGGCCAUCCACAAGGCAGUGGCAGCAUCUCCCCCACGACUGGACUCACGUGGCUCGGAGCUUUGAGAGAAGGCAGAGAGGGCCUGCCCUGGAGGGUGAGAUGUCCACUCUGGGAGCAUGAGGCAGGUGCCAUACCCGCCUGCGGGCUGGAGGGCUGACCCUCAGGGAGGCAUCAGGGCAGUGUGAAGAGAAGCCACACAGUCGCUGCAGAGUCCAGGCCGGCGGGGGACAGGCAGACACAGCCCACUGAUGCAUGGCCUCGUAACUGGACACGGACGGCAUGCCUGAGGAAGACCAGUGUGCACACAGAGGGGAUGGCCUGGGGGGCACGGGACUCCAGAGGGCAGUGCUGGGGCAGGGCCAUGCCCUGCCAUGCUGAGGGCACAGAGGCCUUGCCCCCUGUGGCAGGCAGUCACAGGUGUGUCUCGGGUUCCCACGAGGAGCAGGGCGAUGUGCUCUAGUUAGGGAGAGGUGGCCACACCAGAGGCCCAAGGCCAAGGGUCUCGGAGUGGGGGUUGCAAAGCCUCUGGACUAUGACCUUGGUCCACUGUGGACUUUGUUACAAUAAUAAUGACAUUAAAGACGUGUUUUUAUAA